AGCGAACGCUGGCGGCAGGCCAAAUACAUGCAAGUCGAGCGGCCGUAGCAAUACGGCUGCGGCAGACGGGAGAGUAACACGUGGGAACGUACCUUUCGGUUCGGAACAACACAGGGAAACUUGGGCUAAUACCGGAUACGUCCGUAAGGAGAAAGAUUUAUCGCCGAAAGAUCGGCCUGGGUAUGAUUAGCUUGUAGGUGAGGUAACGGCUCACCAAGGCGACGAUCAGUAGCUGGUAUGAGAGGAUGAUCAGCCUCACUGGGACUGAGACACGGCCCAGACUCCUACGGGAGGCAGCAGUAGGGAAUAGUAGACAAUGGGCGCAAGCCUGAUCCAGCCAUGCCGCGUGAGUGAUGAAGGCCCUAGGGUUGUAAAGUUCUUUCGGCGGGGAAGAUAAUGACGGUACCCGCAGAAGAAGCCCCGGCUAACUUCGUGCCAGCCGCCGCAGUAA
rnacentral:rRNA from 1 species